rnacentral:lncRNA from 1 species
CGUUGAUGAUCGAGCUUCUUCAGCAACAGGACUUCUGUAGUAACCAGACUCCAUCCAAAUUUCUACGGUGGUCGACCUCCUUUCAAAUUUCAACCGAACUUCUACUGCAAGCGAUCUACUUUGGAUCUCUACUAUGAAUUUUAGCCGAACUUCUACUACAAGCGGUCUACUUCAGAUCUCUACUGUAAGCAAAUUUCAUCCAAGCUUCUACUGUAAACAAAUUCCUUCCAAACUUUUGUUACAGGCGGACUUCAGUCGAUCUUCUUCAAUAAGCGGUCCCCAUCCGGACUUCUACAAGAAUCGAAUUCCGUCUGAACUUCC